ACAGCUGCACCUUCACGUGGGUGAGCUAACAGCAGCCACUCCCACGUGUGGGACCCGUUCCCCUGGCUGGAGCUGAUUAACCCAGGGCCGAACACUGGGAACCGGAAGCUUGCAAUGUAAAGACUCUGAUCUGGAGGUCCCUGGAGCCAAGUGCCCUUAUUGACAGAGCUCUGGUAAGAAGCCCACACACCCUCCCUGCUGCCUAGGCCCUGGGAGCCAAACUGCCUCUUGCCCUUCUUGGAUAUUCCAGUAUCUUUCCACUAUAUUCCUGCUGUGAUUUAAGAUAGCCAAAGUCAGACUCUGUUGCUGGGAAUCAAAAGAAGCUCUGCUAAUGGAGGAUUGGGGACUUUCAGAGCUGGAAGGUGGCUGGAAUGUCAUCUGUCUCCCUGUGUGGUCCUGCUGAGAUGGCAGAGCUCUCUCUGCCCUGCAAGGAUCCGCCUCUGUGCCCUUCAGACUGGCCCAUUUCUCUAGACUCACUCAUGCCCCUCCACCAUCUGCAGGAGCCCCCUCUCCCCACCCCUCCCAAACCGACUCAACUCUGAAGGUGCCAUACAAGCCCCAUCUCUUCCAUUUGAAAGCCUUAAAAAUGUUGUGCCAUAAAUAUUUAAAAUAACUUUCCUUUUCUUCUCUACCCUUUCAUAUUUUCUCUACCUUUAACUCUCCCUGGUUGUAAAGCAAGGGUGUUCUUAGGUUGAGAUAAAUCUCCUUUCUAUGUGAAUCAUGACAAAUUCCAACUUUGUGGCUCCAAAAUAAUAGCUAACAUGUCUAUUAGAAGCCAGGCUUACUAAUACGUAAGUGCUUCAUGAAGUUUGACUUGUUUAACUUAAUCUCAAAAAAAUUCAUUGAGGGAUAGUCAUUGCUCCCUAUUUUAUAAACAAUGAAAUUGAAGGUUCAAGAGGUUCCAAAUUAGUGAGGUUAUAUUUCAGACUUGUCUGUGUCUCAAACAGUAACAGCAGAACCAUUGCAAAGCAUCUCUAUUUCCCCCUUGUACCACCAUCUCUGUUCCAUUUAUUUUUCAUAUUAAGAGAAAAAAAGGAUGGUGGUGAGAGGUUCAGGGUAAUGUGAACAUCACAAGAAAGUUGGACGUAAAGGGAGGGACUAGGUCUUGUUGAAGUAAAGAAUAAGGGAAGACUGUCUUGAGAGUUAGCACCUGGGAAGUGUGGCAGAUUGCAUUUUUCAAAGAAAGCAGGAAUGAUUCUUCUCUCCCAGGUGCUUUUCUGCAUCUUAAUAAUCUUGUGUCAAGAGGUAGAGUCCAUGUCCCUCCCCUUGGACCCGGAUGGGUCUUUGUGACUGCCUGGACAACCAACCUCAGAGGAAGUGAUGAUAUGUGGCUUCUGAGGCUAAGUCAUAAAAAUGCCACCCUAUCUCUUGGGAUUCUCAGUCUUGUGACCUGGUCACCAUGCUGCCAGGAAGCCCAUCCAACUCAUGGAGACACACAAUCCCACAGCCCUGGCUGGGCUCCCUGCCACAGACCAACAUCUCUACUGGGGUGAAUGUGCCACCUUGAAAGCAGGUCCUUUACUUCCCACUUGAGCUAUUCCAGCUACUGUCACAUGAAGCAGAGGUGAGCCAUUUCCCUGGGGCCUGUUGAAAUUAUAGAUUCAUGAACAAAAAAUCACUGUUGUUCUAGACCACUAAGUUUUGGAGUCGUUUGUUAAACAGCAGUAGAUUAAUGAUACAUAAGAGGCUCUAAAAGAUGGAAAUCUUUCUAGACAAGGUUACAAAGCCCCUAUGCUGAUCAUUGACAGCUGCUGGUGGUAAAUACAAUAAUAUCCCUAUUAGUGAUGGCCUCAAGUAGGGUCAUUGUAGCCAUCGUAGCAGGGUUCGGUAGUCAUUGUUUUUUCUGGAAUUUGCUCAUGUUAAGUGGUUCACACUUUAUCUCACUGAAUUCCAAUGAAAAUUCAAUGAGGUAGGUACUACUACCCUCAUUUUAUAGAUGAGGGGUCUGAGGAUUGGAGAAUUUGAGUUUACUUCAAGAUCACACAGAUAGCUUCUAAGAAAUGCUCUCUGCCCCUCCCCCCAAACUCCCUUGUGUAGUAUUCCCAGGUUCUAACCUUUCCUCCCUACCUGCCCAAACUCUAAAAGAAGGCUCAUUCCCUCAUCCAGGCAAGGCUCAUUGAAGAAAUGAUGCUUUUAACCAGACUCCCACAGAAGUGCGAAUGACUGGUAGGUAGACCAAUGCAUUCUUUUACCAAUCUGUUUACAAAGAGGAUGCCCAUUAAUGAAAAUGAAGAGCUCUUCUGGAGAGCAUUUCUCUAGAGCUCUCUGGAGGAAGAAUAACUUUUCCUAGCACUUGUUCAGAUAAUUUUGUGUCCUAGAUGAAGGGCUGACAUGGUCCAGACAGCUCACAAUCCCCUUUUGGCAAUUUGGAAAACAGGCUGAAUUAUGUCAUUCCCUCAAAGAUGUGCCCCAUCCUGGGUGGCACCCAUCUGUUACCACCCCUAUCUUACCUGUGAGGAAACCACAGCUCAGCGGGGUUUACAGCUUUGCCCAGAAUCACACAGAAGAACCAAGACUUGAAUGUGGGUCUUCUAACUUCAAAAGCUGGGUCCAGCCUGCAACAUGGCUGUACCUUUUCCCCCUCUCCAACAAUAUGGAUAGUUUAGGGAGGUGAAUGAUAAAUGAUGAAAGACCCCAGCUAGCAGAAGGAAAGCAGUGAUCUGAACACCUAAGGGGAAUCCUAAACGGUGGAAAGAAGAAAGCAAAUUGUUAAAAAACCAGGAAAAAAAAGGAAAAGAAAUAAAGCCAUUUGGAAGUGCUCAUUGAGUUGAUGCAGUGGAUAAUUUAAUAAGCCGUCUGUUCUGAUCUGUCUUGCUUCCCUGCUCUUAGCAGGGUGCCGUAUGGAAGCUCCUAC
rnacentral:lncRNA from 1 species